rnacentral:lncRNA from 1 species
UUCUUCUCUAUAAGCUCUAAGUGGAGGCUACCACAUUUGUUGGAGGCUUCCUACAUGAGUUUUCUAGUGCUGUUGUUUGAUGAUUAUGAUGAUUCACGUAGGAUCGGGCACGGGCCUUAGUGACAUAAAACAUGAAAGACAAUAUGUUUGAACACAUUUAUUUUUACUUCAAAACAAUGUUAAACACUUUUUAAUUCAAUAAAACAUAACU